rnacentral:rRNA from 1 species
UACACACCGCCCGUCACACCAUGGGAGUGGGUUGCUCCAGAAGUCGCUAGUCUAACCUUCGGGAGGACGGUGACCACGGAGUGAUUCAUGACCGGGGUG